rnacentral:rRNA from 1 species
GUGGGGAAUUUUGGACAAUGGGCGCAAGCCUGAUCCAGCAAUGCCGCGUGUGUGAAGAAGGCCUUCGGGUUGUAAAGCACUUUUGUCCGGAAAGAAAUCUCCUGGGUUAAUACCUCGGGGGGAUGACGGUACCGGAAGAAUAAGCACCGGCUAACUACGUGCCAGCAGCCGCGGUAAUACGUAGGGUGCGAGCGUUAAUCGGAAUUACUGGGCGUAAAGCGUGCGCAGGCGGCUAUGCAAGACAGAUGUGAAAUCCCCGGGCUCAACCUGGGAACUGCAUUUGUGAAUGCAUGGCUAGAGUGCGUCAGAGGGAGGUGGAAUUCCGCGUGUAGCAGUGAAAUGCGUAGAGAUGCGGAGGAACACCGAUGGCGAAGGCAGCCUCCUGGGAUGACACUGACGCUCAUGCACGAAAGCGUGGGGAGCAAACAGGAUUAGAUACCCUUGUAGUCC